AUUGAACGCUGGCGGCAUGCCUUACACAUGCAAGUCGAACGGCAGCACGGGUGCUUGCACCUGGUGGCGAGUGGCGAACGGGUGAGUAAUACAUCGGCACAUGUCCUGUAGUGGGGGAUAGCCCGGCGAAAGCCGGAUUAAUACCGCAUACGAUCUACGGAUGAAAGCGGGGGACCUUCGGGCCUCGCGCUAUAGGGUUGGCCGAUGGCUGAUUAGCUAGUUGGUGGGGUAAAGGCCUACCAAGGCGACGAUCAGUAGCUGGUCUGAGAGGACGACCAGCCACACUGGGACUGAGACACGGCCCAGACUCCUACGGGAGGCAGCAGUGGGGAAUUUUGGACAAUGGGCGAAAGCCUGAUCCAGCAAUGCCGCGUGUGUGAAGAAGGCCUUCGGGUUGUAAAGCACUUUUGUCCGGAAAGAAAUCCUUGGCUCUAAUACAGUCGGGGGAUGACGGUACCGGAAGAAUAAGCACCGGCUAACUACGUG
rnacentral:rRNA from 1 species